CCGCAUGUGGCGCAACUGGAUAGCGCGUCGGUUUCCUAGGCUGAUGGUUGCAGGUUCGACUCCUGCCAUGCGGACCA
rnacentral:tRNA from 2 species